UCUGCGACUUUGAGCGACUGGACAUAGGAAGUGGGCAGGACCAGAGACAAACUCCUUGAAUUCAAGGUGAGCAACUGAAGUAACUACCAAUGAGAGCAAAUGAUAGCACUGAUUGACAUAUUGUCACGGUCUGGUUGGGCACCUGCAGGUCUCAGACAGCGGCUCCUCCUCCUUUAGGCGGAGUCCGGUUGCCCCUCCCGGGCUGACCACCUGUGAGCAAUCGUGCCAGCGGUAUAUCAGACCUGCGCUCUCAACCCCUCAUCGCCUGAGUAUCUGCUAUUCCCAUUGAUAGCACCCGGAGUGGAGAUCUUGUUCCCCUCGCUCCCAUCCUCCUGGACCGGGGCCGCCAGCUGCUUACACAACGUGGCCUGCCGGCCCACCGCUCACCUGCCUGCCUCCCCACGCCUCGACCGCUUCCGGAUUUUCCGCUCCACCUGUCCCCUCCAUCUGAAACCAAUGCCCACGGCCCCUGCCUAGUCCUGUUUCUACCUCCCCGCUGUUCCCGCUGUCAGCUGUCUCCUAGAGGUGUCUAGGUCGCCCUCAUUAUCCCUGACGAACCCUACGCGCCACUAGUGUGGUGGCGUCGCUUUAUGUUUUGCCUUUGUUUUCAUGUGGGCGGAAUAAAUCAUUUGUUUUCAGUCACCUCGCUUCCGGGUUGGUUUCUGCGCCUGUGUCCAUCCCUGUUCCCUCGUGCCGCUGGGC